GAUGAACGCUGGCGGCGUGGAUAAGGCAUGCAAGUCGAGUGGGUUUAGACCCACGGCGAACGGGUUAGUAAUACGUAGGAACGUACCUCAAAGUUAGGGAUAACCCAGAGAAAUCUGGAAUAAUACCUAAUGGUCUCUUCGGAGUAAAGAUUUAUCGCUUUGAGAUCGGCCUACGUCCUAUCAGCUUGUUGGUGAGGUAAUGGCUCACCAAGGCUAUGACGGGUAGGGGGCGUGAGAGCGUGACCCCCAACAUUGGCACUGAGACACUGGCCAAACACCUACGGGUGGCUGCAGUCGAGAAUAUUCGACAAUGCACGAAAGUGUGAUCGAGCGACGCCGCGUGCGGGAUGAAUGCCUUCGGGUUGUAAACCGCUUUUAUAAGGGAAGAACUUAGGUGACGGUACCUUAUGAAUAAGGAGUUGCUAACUACG
rnacentral:rRNA from 1 species